rnacentral:rRNA from 1 species
UAAGGUGGAGAGUGGCGCACGGGUGAGUAACACAUGGCUGACCUGCCCCUCAGAGGGGGACAGCCAGUGGAAACGCCGGCUAAUACCCCAUGCUUGCGUCCGGGUUAGAGGCCGGAUGCAGAAAGGCCGAGGCGCUGAGGGAGGGGGCUGUGGUCCAUCAGCUAGUUGGUAGGGUAACGGCCUACCAAUGCGAGGACGGAUAGGGGGCCUGAGAGGGUGACCCCCCACACGGGCACUGAGACACGGGCCCGACUCCUACGGGAGGCAGCAGUAAGGGAUAUUGCGACAAUGGGCGAAAGCCUGACGCAUCAACGCCGCGUGGAGGAUGAAGGCCUUCGGGUUGUAAACUCCUUUUCUGUGGGAAGAGGAAGGACGGUACCACAGGAAGAAGUCUCGGCUAACUACGUGCCAGCAGCCGCGGUAAAACGUAGGAGGCGAGCGUUAUCCGGAUUUACUGGGUGUAAAGCGCGUGCAGGCGGCUUGGUAAGUCGAGCGUGAAAGCUCCCGGCUCAACCGGGAGAGGACGUGCGAAACUGCGAGGCUAGAGACAGGUAGAGGCGUACGGAAUUCCGGGUGUAGUGGUGAAAUGCGUAGAUAUCCGGAGGAACACCAGUGGCGAAGGCGGGUACGCUGGGCCUGGUCUGACGCUAAGACGCGAAAGCAUGGGGAGCGAACGGGAUUAGAAACCCCGGUAGUCCAUGCCGUAAACGAUGCUAACUAGGUGUUGCGGGUAAAAGACCGGCAGUGCCGGAGUUAACGCGAUAAGUUAGCCACCUGGGGACUACGGUCGCAAGGCUAAAACUCAAAGGAAUUGACGGGGGCCCGCACAAGCAGCGGAGCGUGUGGUUUAAUUCGAGGCUACACGAAGAACCUUACCUGGGCUUGACAUGACGGUGGUAGGGAACCGAAAGGGGACCGACCUUCGGGAGCCGCCACAGGUGCUGCAUGGCUGUCGUCAGCUCGUGUCGUGAGAUGUUCGGUUAAGUCCGGUAACGAGCGCAACCCUCAUCGCUAGUUACAAGUGUCUAGCGAGACUGCCCGUUCAACGCGGGAGGAAGGCGGGGAUGACGUCAAGUCAGCAUGGCCUUUAUGUCCAGGGCUACACACACGCUACAAUGGCCGGUACAAUGGGUCGCCAACCCGCGAGGGGGAGCCAAUCCACCAAAGCCGGUCACAGUUCGAAUUGCAGGCUGCAACCCGCCUGCAUGAAGUCGGAGUUGCUAGUAACCGCAGGUCAG